rnacentral:rRNA from 1 species
AUUGAACGCUGGCGGCAUGCUUUACACAUGCAAGUCGAACGGUAACAGGGAGCUUGCUCCGCUGACGAGUGGCGAACGGGUGAGUAAUGUAUCGGAACGUACCUUUCAGUGGGGGAUAACGUAGCGAAAGUUACGCUAAUACCGCAUAUUCUGUGAGCAGGAAAGCAGGGGAUCGCAAGACCUUGCGCUGAUUGAGCGGCCGAUAUCAGAUUAGCUAGUUGGUGAGGUAAAGGCUCACCAAGGCGACGAUCUGUAGCGGGUCUGAGAGGAUGAUCCGCCACACUGGAACUGAGACACGGUCCAGACUCCUACGGGAGGCAGCAGUGGGGAAUUUUGGACAAUGGGGGCAACCCUGAUCCAGCCAUGCCGCGUGAGUGAAGAAGGCCUUCGGGUUGUAAAGCUCUUUCGGCCGGGAAGAAAUCGCAUGGGUUAAUACCCUGUGCGGAUGACGGUACCGGCAUAAGAAGCACCGGCUAACUACGUGCCAGCCGCCGCGGUAAUAC